rnacentral:rRNA from 1 species
AGAGGGUGCAAACGUUGCUCGGAUUUACUGGGCGUAAAGCGCGUGUAGGCGGACUCGCAAGUCGGUUGUGAAAUCCCUGGGGCUCAACCUAGGAACUGCAUCCGAAACUGCUUGCCUUGAGUAAUGGAGAGGGUGGCGGAAUUCCCGGUGUAGAGGUGAAAUUCGUAGAUAUCGGGAGGAACAUCAGUGGCGAAGGCGGCCACCUGGACAUUUACUGACGCUGAGACGCGAAAGCGUGGGGAGCAAACAGGAUUAGAUACCCUGGUAGUCCACGCCGUAAACGAUGAGAACUAGGUGCAGCGGAUAUUGACCUCUGCUGUGCCGUAGCUAACGCGUUAAGUUCUCCGCCUGGGGAGUACGGCCGCAAGGCUA